rnacentral:rRNA from 1 species
AGAGUUUGAUCAUGGCUCAGAUUGAACGCUGGCGGCAUGCCUUACACAUGCAAGUCGAACGGCAGCGCGGGGCAACCUGGCGGCAAGUGGCGAACGGGUGAGUAAUAUAUCGGAACGUACCCUGGAGUGGGGGAUAACGUAGCGAAAGUUACGCUAAUACCGCAUACGAUCUAAGGAUGAAAGUGGGGGAUUCGCAAGAACCUCAUGCUCCUGGAGCGGCCGAUAUCCGAUUAGCUAGUUGGUAGGGUAAAAGCCUACCAAGGCAUCGAUCAGUAGCUGGUCUGAGAGGACGACCAGCCACACUGGAACUGAGACACGGUCCAGACUCCUACGGGAGGCAGCAGUGGGGAAUUUUGGACAAUGGGCGCAAGCCUGAUCCAGCAAUGCCGCGUGAGUGAAGAAGGCCUUCGGGUUGUAAAGCUCUUUUGUCAGGGAAGAAACGGGUCUUUCUAAUACAGAGAUCUAAUGACGGUACCUGAAGAAUAAGCACCGGCUAACUACGUGCCAGCAGCCGCGGUAAUACGUAGGGUCCAAGCGUUAAUCGGAAUUACUGGGCGUAAAGCGUGCGCAGGCGGUUUUGUAAGUCUGUCGUGAAAUCCCCGGGCUCAACCUGGGAAUGGCGAUGGAGACUGCAAGGCUAGAGUUUGGCAGAGGGGGUAGAAUUCCACGUGUAGCAGUGAAAUGCGUAGAUAUGUGGAGGAACACCGAUGGCGAAGGCAGCCCCCUGGGUCAAAACUGACGCUCAUGCACGAAAGCGUGGGGAGCAAACAGGAUUAGAUACCCUGGUAGUCCACGCCCUAAACGAUGUCUACUAGUUGUCGGGUUUUAAUUAACUUGGUAACGCAGCUAACGCGUGAAGUAGACCGCCUGGGGAGUACGGUCGCAAGAUUAAAACUCAAAGG